GUGGAGCUUCUUGCAUAGGCGUUCAGUAUAUAUCUGCAAUCAUAUGAAUACAAAACAAUAGUGCAACAUUGUUAUAACAAAAAUAAUUUACAAUCUUCCAUUGUAUUAACCAGGGAAAGGCAACCUUUGGCACUCAGAUUAUUUGGACUACAUCUCCCUUAAUGCUCUUACACCCAUAAUGAUAGCAAAGCAUUAUGGGAGGUGUAGUCCAAAACAUCUGGAGUGCCGAAGGUUGCCUAUUCCUGUAUUAGGCUAACCUAAAACAUCUAUUUAAAAAACUGAGGACCCAGAGAAUUAUUUUAAAGUCCCAGGUACUGUUCAGUAAACAAACAAAUUGAAAGAAUUAGGAAAAAUUCCAAGUCGGCUCUAAUCAGUUUGGCUAUUUUGGCCUACAUUUUGGAAUUCAGUUUUCACUUUACUAUAAUUCAAGGUUUAGUGCAUAAAACCUCUAUUAGUCAUCUCUUUUUUUUUAGCCACAUUGCUUAGUGAGUAAAUAUAUGGCUGUGUCAGUAAAAACAAAACGAAUAGCCAUUUGUGCAUAUAAUGCAAACACAGCGAGCAUUUUCUUCACACGUAAAAUGAUUGCAAUAUUUAACAAGUACAGUACCCGUGCACCAUUUUUGUGAGGUGGGGGUAGGAAGUCACAAAACCCACACACGAUUCUGUUUUGGUACAAUAUUUACAACUGAAACGUUUAGUGCCUAAAUUACUUCUAAUCCGACCUGGGAAAUAAAAAGGUCAAUUUAAACAGAAACCUUGUAAAAUCAGUAAAAUGAAAACAUUGUUGCAAAAUAGAAGCCAAUAUAAGAGUUGGGAUAAAGAAAAUAAAAAUACACAAACACACACGCAGUCUUCCUGAUGCUUCUAUUUUGGCCCAAUCUUGUCAUUUGUUUGACAGUCAUCUGCAGUUCAUAAUUUAAAGCAGUUCCCAGCCCAGUCCUUAAGGCGACUAAAGGCUGGACUGUUAUGUGCUAUGAGGACUGAGCUGGGAACAUUGAUUAAAGUGUAUCAACAGCCCAUGACAGUGGUCUAGGGCAGACGUGCAAAAAAGGCAGAGUUGUAAAACUACAACUCCCAUGAUGCUUUGCAGGCCUUAAGAAUGCUUACAGGAUGACAAAGCAUCAUGGAAGUUGUAGUUUUCAAACAUCUGGGGAUAUACCUUUUGGGCACCCCUGGUUUAGGGGGUGUUACAGAAAGGACACACUUGGGCUUAGGGAAGAAAUAAAAGUAAAAAAUAUAAAUACAUUUUUGUAUGUAGUGCCCUACGUUUCUCCAUUUCAUUUGAGUUUGCCACCAAUUGAUAAACAGUACUACGGAAUAUUUGUUAAAGAAUCAAGCUUGUGAUUGGCUCACGGCUCACUUAGCUCAAGUUAAUCACAGAAUUACUUUUCAGAACUGCAGACUGAAGAAGGCACGAACAUCAAUAUCACCAGCUAUUAUUGGACUACAAUUCCCAUCAGCCAUUACCUGUCACCAAUGAGUCUUGGAUAGAAAGGGGUCAGGACACUUUUAGUUCAGAUUUUGUGUAGCUUUGCUUUAGAAGCCUAUUCAUUUGUUAACAGCUGAAGCCAGCUGCACAGUUGACACGGGCUCAGGAACUCUGCACCCCCAUGUUAAAGGCCUACAAUUCCCAUAAAUCUUUUCAUACAAUAGAUGACCAGAGAAUCAUGGGAGUUGUAGUGCAACAACACCUGGG